rnacentral:misc_RNA from 1 species
GAGCUCAUGCCCCUAUGGGUAGAUCUCCACCCUUGAAUAAACAAACCUUUGUUGCUUUGGCGAGCCGCUUCGGCUAUUGGCUUCGGCUGGUAAGUGCUCGCCAGAGAAACCAAAACUCUGAAUUAUAUUGUCGUCUGAGUACUAUAAAAUAGUUAAAACUUUCAACAACGGAUCUCUUGGUUCU